rnacentral:rRNA from 1 species
GGUGCCAGCAGCCGCGGUAAUUCCAGCUCCAAUAGCGUAUAUUAAAGUUGUUGCGGUUAAAAAGCUCGUAGUCUGAGUUCUGUUCCGGACUGGUCGGGGAGGUCACCGCCCGGUGCUUCCCCGUCAGGUUCCGAACAGCCUCCGCCGCGAGCGGGGGCCAAGCCGGUUCUGCCGGGGUGCUCUUGACCGAGUGUCCCGCGCGGCCGGCCGGUUCACCUUGAACAAAUGAGAGUGCUCAAAGCAGGCUACUCUUGACACUAAAGCCCGAAUGUUAACUGCAUGGAAUGAUGGAAGAUGAUCUCGGUUCCAUUUUGCUGGGUGGUGGGAAUCCGAGUUAAUGAUAAACAGGGACUGUCGGGGGCAUCCGUACUACGACGCGAGAGGUGAAAUUCAGUGACCGUCGUAGGACGAACAACAGCGAAAGCAUUUGCCAAGAAUGUCUUCGUUGAUCAAGAACGAAAGUUAGAGGAUCGAAGGCGAUCAGAUACCGCCCUAGUUCUAACCCUAAACGAUGCUGACCAGCUAUUCGCCGUCGUUAUUCCCAUGACGUGGCGAGACGCCCCCGGGAAACCUCGAGUCUUUGAGUUCCGGGGGUAGUAUGGUUGCAAAACUGAAACUUAAAGGAAUUGACGGAAGGGCACCACCAGGAGUGGAGCCUGCGGCUUAAUUUGACUCAACACGGGAAACCUCACCAGGCCCGGACACCAGAAGGAUUGACAGAUUAAGAGCUCUUUCUCAAUUUGGUGGGUGGUGGUGCAUGGCCGUUCUUAGUUGGUGGAGUGAUUUGUCUGGUUAAUUCCGGUAACGAACGAGACUCUGGCCUACUAACUAGUGGGCGGGUGUUCCGGUAAGGGGCCCCGCCCGACAAUGUCUUCUUAGAGGGAUGAGCAGCGAGUAUAGCUGCAGGAGAUUGAGCAAUAACAGGUCUGU